ensembl:lncRNA
GUGAAAACAACUCCAACAACUUUGUAAAAGUUUUCAUCAAUGUUCACAAAUCAGCCGUUUCAGAAAUAAUUGUUCAUGAAAAUGUUCAUUAAAAUCAGAGGUGACGUUUGGACAGUAGCCAAGCAGGGCAAUGUUUGUCCAUCAGUUUCUAUUUAUGGCCAAAUAUUAUGUUGCUAGGUAACAGCCAGCUCUAUCAGAGUUAUCAAAUUAGCAUUAGCAGCUCAGUGAGCGGCAGAAACGUAUAUGUCUGAUGUCAUCUGUUCCCUUCUGCAGCCUCAAAGAGAAACACAAAGAAAUGUUCCAGCGGAAGAUGCAGAAGCUACUGUUGGAACUGACUAACAUCAGUGACACAAAAACCACACAAACGCCAGUAAAUGGUGUUUAUUUGUCUGGCCAUUGUAAUUUACUGUGACUAAAUGGAUGCUGAAAUAUUGACAAAUCCUUUCCAAGGAUCCAUAAAACGAGCUAUCUCACAAAGGAGUGCUCUAGACACAAACUAUAAAAAGUCUUGGUCUGGCAGGUUGCCUGAAGGGCAAGUGAAAACAAAGGCCACCUACGCACAGACUAUCAGUGACAAGAGAAAGACGGCCAGACAGGCAAUCCCACCAGGAACACUUUCACCUGAGCCGCAGACAAAAGCAGUUGCUGGGAGAAAAGCGCUGCGGGUCAGACAUCACAGUAACCCGCCUCCUUCUGCUUCUGGUCUUCUCUGGUACAAAUGCACAGUUGUCCAGUCAGCCAGCUGGUCAUGACUGUCAGCAGGACCUCGGCUCGGGCUGCGGAUGGAGGCCAGAUGGUGAGGCUCUCACACACACACACACACACACAGAUGCGUGAGUAGUACAUCCUCCUCUGAAUAACGAAGGACUCGUAGCUACCUCAGUCGACCUCGCUACAUGCUGCUUUUAUUUCAAAGGCAGAGCGAGAGCUCAGAGGGAGAAAUAUGAACUGUGCUUCAGAAGCGAGGUCAGCGAACUGCAGAACUCUGUUAAAAAUUACAGACAAAUCAAAACAAUGGUAAUACACUCAUGAGUCAGUCACCGAGUUUCUUAUUGGCUGCAGUAGUAAUACAACAUGGCAUGUUUGGACAAUGCAGGGUGGUUCAAGACCAUUAAAACUGUUAAACAUUUUUUCCCCCUGGUUUAAGAAUUUUUCAUGGAGGCGAAAAAAGGUGUGAAGACGUGCAUGUGAAUGUGUGUAAAGCCCACAUAAAUUGUCACUUUAAGCUUUUGCUGUACUCAAAUAAAAUUGUCUUUGUCCCGUACCCCUGCUUUGUUGUGUGUGUGAUCAACUAAACAUUGAUUUUUAUAUAGAAAACUUUCUAUCCUUCAAAAAUAUAAUCAAAAAUAUUCGUAAAUCCAGGGUUUCGACUUCUAAAUUCUUUUAGUAAGACUGUUUCUGUAGAAAAGAAAAUCUUUCAGAUUAGAUUAAAAAUAUUUUACGGAAUAAACUAAUAGUUUACAUACCUGUGAAUGCCACACUAUUAAAAUAAAAGCAUGCAGUACGAAGUGGAUAUGUCUCUCAUCAGUUUGUAGUAAAAAUACAAGUUUUGUUUUGUUAAAUAGUUUUGAGGGCUGAAUUUGUGGACCUAGAAUAUAUGCUGUAAGCAAAAAACAACUUACAUCAUGACUCAUUUAGCCGUUUUCAGGCUUUAGCUUCAAAGGGUUAAAGACAUUUGCGUAAAAAAGAAAAAAAAGAUGAAGAGCAACACAACAAACAAUAAGCAGACGUUUUAAUCAGAACGGACAUCUGUUAUUCCCAACAAGCCGUGAGUCAUGUUUGCCUGAACUCUGCUAUUAUCAACUCAUAUUUACUGUCAUUACUCACGUUAAUGAAAGGUUUGGGCGGGCCCUUUUCACUGCAGUGUUUGACCAGCUGAACUGUGCAGUUUGUUCUACGACAAGAACCGUAACCUCAGAGAGGCGACGCGGGCAGAAGUGAGAAACAAAGCCAACUGAUUUGUGGUGCAGGAUGAUUACUUCAUGAUUACUUGAUUAACUUGGUUUUUAUUUGUUUUUUUUCUCACAGGAAAUUCAUAGAAAAAUGUCUUUUGUAGCAGGUGUCACUUCCUGUAUGCAUUCAACAUACCAAUUUUUUUCUGUUUUGAAGUAAAAUUUUCUUCAAUCUCAUUUAUUUAUUUUGAUUUAUUUGUGUUUUACAUGUAUGGUGACCCCAAAAAAAUCACUUAUAUUUAUCAUUUUUUCCUAUUUAUCAACAACUCCAU